rnacentral:lncRNA from 1 species
AUGCAUGAUUUGCAAACAUUAAGCAUUAAUCUGCUGUCAUCCAUGCAUCUGGCCACCACCAAACACCCAUUUUCACAAUGUGGAGAAGUGCAUGCUGGGAAAGGACUUUCAUGCACUUGUGCAGCUGUUGCACACUAAAGAAUCAGGGAUGCAGAUCGAGGCCUUAUCCAGGAGAAUUAACAACCUCACAUACUUACUCAGCCGAGACGAGCUGCUGAGAGGAAUGAGACGCAGCCAGACCGCCAUAGUGUGAUCGGCCUGCGCCGCAUUAACUCCACCGUCCCGCCAAGAGCAUACCUCAACCUAACCCACCUCACCCUCAAAGCUUCAGGACCUGAACUGUGUCACACAAUCCUGCAUAAUUCAGCUCAAGAACACAGCUCUAUUAUUUUUGAUAUUGUAUUACUAAUUAUUUUUGAUGCGUUAUGGGGUUAUAAUGUACUGUAUGACAAUCAGAUCUGAGUUAAAGAGCAAACAAAAAAAUAAUUUUGUGUAAUAUGCAGACAGCACUUUUCACAAAGCCUUUCUGUCAAUAGAUGAAAUCAUCUACCUCAACCAUUGUGUUCUUCUUAAAAUAUUGUAUUCAUAUAGCCAGUGGA